GCAAGGGACUUGGAUACGAGGCAAUCCUGUGCUGGCGAGAAAAUGGUAAAUAUGUUGUACUGACGGUUAGGCACACAAGAAUAUAUAGUCUCCAUAAGCUGGAUGAACAAAUAUACCUUGUUAAUUAGUUUUUGAUCCUUCAAACAUGGCCAGCGUCCUUACCAUUCGAGCUCCGUGACUCGGAGUUCGCCUUGAUGUAUUUAGGUACCAUGUUAGCAUAAUGAAACCUGUUGCUCGUAAUAUGAUUAAGGCAUGUGAUUAAACUGUUUUGCUGAAUUUAUUCAGAGGGGAAAUCAUCAAGGUUGCGAGCAGAUGUCUAAAUGAUCUGUUUCCAUUGCACAAAUAUAUCCUCAAUUACCAAUGUAAAUGAGCGACCGUUUCAAAUUUAUAUUUCUAUUUUCUUUUGCAAUCUGCAAGGAACUUAAAGAUAGUUUUACAUUUUCUCACGUGCAUUCUAGUCCAUAAAUUGAUUGGGCAAUACAGAACGGAAGAAUAUGUACAAGUUCGCGGUACAAACUUCAGUUUCUCUUGAACCUUGUGAAUUAAGUGAAUGCUGAAUUUUUAAGUUAAGAAAUAGCUAGUUCUCUCCCCGCAAAACAAAAGGAACUAGCUAGCUCUCCUAUGAACGUAUAUUGGUUAAUUCUUAUUUUUUUAAAAUUCUAUUUGUUAAAUGUUGGCAGGCAGAGUAUAUAUACUUGAUGUUACCCUGAAUUUGAAUUUGGGUGUACAUGAUCUUACUAGCUUCUAAUUCUACUGAGCUAUACUGAUGAUGAUGUGUUUGCUCUCACACAUUUUUUCAAAGGAUCAUUAUGACAAAUGAUGGCCAAUUCUAGGUUGUUGGUAAUGCAUUUUCACAUUGUCCGAUGCUUGUGCUUAUCCCCAUUGGGUAAUUAAUAUUAUACAGGAGCAUUAAUCGUGGAUUUCGUUUUGAUUUUGACAGGAACUUGCAUCCAAUCCUGCUAUUCCUAACUGGCAUGUUUAUAGGUUGCAGUGUUAGUGGUGGUCUCCUCCUGAUGGAGCUCUGUAUAUGCCCUUCUUGUUUGGCUAAAUAUCUCUUCUCUCCUAACAUUUUGUAAGACUCUUUCCAUUUUCUUAAGAAGCAUGCUGUCAAUGGACGACAGAUGUUGCAGCACUGAAAAGUUGGUGACCAUGCUUGGAUGUUUCAGAGCGCAUAUGAAAAGCAUAUUUUUACUUUCAGGGAUUGCACAAUAUAUUCAUUCAAGAAGACUGAGAUGAUUGCUCAGUGUUGCGAUUUCUAAUAUGGCAGGACAAUCACAAUUUCAUUCGUCUUCUGACAUUGCCAACUUUGUAGAGACCUUUGCAAUCGAUGCAAAUUCGUAUUGUUUCAUGGAGUUUGUUUAUUAUCAUGUUGUUGGUAUUCUGUGUAAUGAAGCUUCCCAUAUUUUUACUGGCACAUAUAUCUAAAAAACCACAAUCCAUCUGUGUUCUAUAAACGUUGGUGUGGGUCUUAUGUGCACCAAGAAUUCUGUUGUUAACAUAAGGUAUUUUACACCGGCACUGCAAACUGUUGAUAAAUCUGAUGUGUUGCUU
rnacentral:lncRNA from 1 species